AAAUUGAAGAGUUUGAUCAUGGCUCAGAUUGAACGCUGGCGGCAGGCCUAACACAUGCAAGUCGAACGGUAACAGGAAGCAGCUUGCUGCUUCGCUGACGAGUGGCGGACGGGUGAGUAAUGUCUGGGAAGCUGCCUGAUGGAGGGGGAUAACUACUGGAAACGGUGGCUAAUACCGCAUAACGUCGCAAGACCAAAGAGGGGGACCUUCGGGCCUCUUGCCA
rnacentral:rRNA from 1 species